UACGUAGGGGUGCAAGCGUUGUCCGGGAAUUAUUGGGCGUAAAGAGCUCGUAGGCGGCUCGUUGCGUCCAUCGUGAAAACUCCAGGCUUAACUUGGAGCUUGCGGUGGAUACGGGGCGGCUAGAGUCCGGUAGGGGAGUGUGGAAUUCCUGGUGUAGCGGUGAAAUGCGCAGAUAUCAGGAGGAACACCAGUGGCGAAGGCGGCACUCUGGGCCGGUACUGACGCUGAGGAGCGAAAGCGGUGGGGAGCGAACAGG
rnacentral:rRNA from 1 species